GAAAAAAAAUAUUGAAGCUGCUAACUUUGAUAAGGGGAUUUUUCUCCUUUUUUCU
rnacentral:tRNA from 1 species